GUUUUAAUAAUUUAAAAAAAAUACUGAUCUUGUAAAUCAGAAAUAAGGUUAACUUUUAAAACU
rnacentral:tRNA from 1 species